rnacentral:rRNA from 1 species
AGUCGUAACAAGGUUUCCGUAGGUGAACCUGCGGAAGGAUCAUUAAAGAGUAAGGGUGCUCAGCGCCCGACCUCCAACCCUUUGUUGUUAAAACUACCUUGUUGCUUUGGCGGGACCGCUCGGUCUCGAGCCGCUGGGGAUUCGUCCCAGGCGAGCGCCCGCCAGAGUUAAACCAAACUCUUGUUAUUAAACCGGUCGUCUGAGUUAAAAUUUUGAAUAAAUCAAAACUUUCAACAACGGAUCUCUUGGUUCUCGCAUCGAUGAAGAACGCAGCGAAAUGCGAUAAGUAAUGUGAAUUGCAGAAUUCAGUGAAUCAUCGAAUCUUUGAACGCACAUUGCGCCCCUUGGUAUUCCGAGGGGCAUGCCUGUUCGAGCGUCAUUACACCACUCAAGCUAUGCUUGGUAUUGGGUGCCGUCCUUAGUUGGGCGCGCCUUAAAGACCUCGGCGAGGCCUCACCGGCUUUAGGCGUAGUAGAAUUUAUUCGAACGUCUGUCAAAGGAGAGGACUUCUGCCGACUGAAACCUUUUAUUUUUCUAGGUUGACCUCGGAUCAGGUAGGGAUACCCGCUGAACUUAAGCAUAUCAAUAAAGUCG